UGACAUUGCUGGUGGUGUGCACAGAGGGAGCUCAUCAAGGAGGUGCCAGGGGACUUCCAGCUGCCAAGGCCUGCGUGGAAGAGAGCACAGCGCCGGAGUCUUCGAGGGCUUCUGCAGGUGUUCUUCCAUCUCUUCCUGGCAUCUGGGCUCGCCGCCAGCACAGCUGGAGACUCGCCCCUGUGGGUCUAAGCUCUUAGUCCCAAGCAAACAUCCUGGACUCCAAACUCUGCCUCAGCAGCUACUUCCAGAGAAGCCACUGCCACCACAGGCCCCAGGAGCAGUCUGGAGAAGGAGGCUGGACUGCAGCUCACAGUGCUCAUGGUCGGUGGAGUAAGAGUUUCUCUGGCUCUUCCUCUCCUCUCCAGCCACUUCGAGUGGUGUGAGACAGGGGGUCUUAUCUGGCACUGGGCCCCGUGCCUGCGUUCCUCUGUCAGGGUCCAGCUCCAGGCUGCAUGGUGAGAAGGGGGAGAGAGAAAGCUCACGUCUUCUCACAGAGCUCAUCUCCUGGGUGAAGCAGAGGCUCCUGGACUCCUGCCAACUUCAUCUGGAUCCAGUGGUGACCUCUGACCCUGGAGCUGUUUCCCCGUAGGUGGCGAAUGUGUUUUUCUCAGGAAGUGUUUUGUUUCACCUAGACCCCCUCUCACAGAGGAGCUCUGGCUUUUCUCCUGACUAUAAGCAGAGCAUUCAUUUUUUUUUUGUAAAUGUGACAUAAAUUUCUAAUUGUAAAAGUAUAUUCCUCUCCAGAACCAGGACAAAGUGACUCGAGAGAUGACUUGGGUCAGCACAACCCACCUUACUAAUAACUCUUACAUUUCCUAGUCACCUUCCCACAAUUUACUGGCCCUAGAAAUCCAACCCCCCUUUCCUUUAUUUACUUACUUCUCCGUAAUUUGUCACCCUUUGUUAAAAUGGCAUAGAAGCCCCAAGUCGCACAGCUUUUUGGGUUUUCACUUCUUUUCUGUGAAGCCUCUGUGCACAUGAAAACAUCAAUGAAGUCGUAAAGCUUUCCUCCUUCUAUUCUGUCCUUCAGUUCAUCAGUUCCCAGAAAAGGACACAGAGGACACCAGAAAGGGCUUUCUUCCCCUGUACCCCUAAACUCCCAGGGACAAAUGCAGUUGCCUCUGACCCAGCUCUUUCUUAGUGGAGGACCAGAGGGGGCAGCACUUGGAACAGCAUGGCUAGCUUCUUCCUGGGGAGUGAGAGGCCACUGCCCUUCCAUGAAGCCAUUUCUUAGAGCUCUGUUCACUU
rnacentral:lncRNA from 1 species